CUAGAGCCAGUUGGAAACUUCAUAAUGGGCUCCUAUCUCCAAUGGACUGAACCAAAGCCUUUGGUCCCAACGUGCCCUCAGAAUUUGAAAAUAUGGGUCUGAAGCUGAUCUUUGUAUUUUAGUGCCACGGGACUAGAAUUCAGCAGUGUUUUAUGAGGCGGGAAGGGAUAUAUGAAUUAGUCUGAUUCAUCAUGAGAACAAGGCCUUGUUAUGAGCUAUCAGGACUCCUCUACAGCAUAAUUCAUGCAUUUUGUGACACCCACUUUUGUUCCUGAACCCUUAAACAUGUUCAGGUGCCACAAUUCAGUGAAAGAUCAAACCAGUUCAGAAGACACUGAAUGCUGCUUGGCCACAGUUUUGUUUCUCCCUAUGCGUCUUUACUAGUUGGUAUUUCAGCUGCACAUCUGAUCUCAGACUGACAGAAAUUCACCUUGCCUGCUCUCAGAAGUGCUCUCGCUAUUGCUGUAGGAGAGACAACGUUUCAUCAGAAAAGUUGCAAAUGAAAAAAUUCACCUAGUUCUAUUCCCAGGUAAUGGCCAACUGUGACCCAGGGCGCCAACUAGCAAAGGGUUCACUUUGUUCUUUACAAGCAACUCCUUUCUGAGACCUGACAAACUCAUACAUGUAACACAUUGCUUCCUUGGUGUUUAUCCAUAAAGGGUAGCAUAUGAAGUAUCUA